GACGAACGCUGGCGGCGUGCUUAACACAUGCAAGUCGAACGGAAAGGCCCUGCUUUUGUGGGGUGCUCGAGUAGCGAACGGGUGGGUAACACGUGAGUGACCUGCCCUUGACUUUGGGAUAACUUCAGGAAACUGGGGCUAAUACCGGAUAGGAGCUCCUGCUGCAUGGUGGGGGUUGGAAAGUUUCGGCGGUUGGGGAUGGACUCGCGGCUUAUCAGCUUGUUGGUGGGGUAGUGGCUUACCAAGGCUUUGACGGGUAGCCGGCCUGAGAGGGUGACCGGCCACACUGGGACUGAGAUACGGCCCAGACUCCUACGGGAGGCAGCAGUGGGGAAUAUUGCACAAUAGGCGGAAGCCUGAUGCAGCAACGCCGCGUGCGGGAUGACGGCCUUCGGUUCGUAAACCGCUUUCGCCUGUGACGAAGCGUGAGUGACGGUAAUGGGUAAAGAAGCACCGGCUAACUACGUG
rnacentral:rRNA from 1 species